rnacentral:rRNA from 1 species
CCUACGGGAGGCAGCAGUGAGGAAUAUUGGUCAAUGGGCGUAAGCCUGAACCAGCCAAGUCGCGUGAGGGAUGAAGGUUCUAUGGAUCGUAAACCUCUUUUAUAAGGGAAUAAAGUGUGGGACGUGUCCUGUUUUGUAUGUACCUUAUGAAUAAGGAUCGGCUAACUCCGUGCCAGCAGCCGCGGUAAUACGGAGGAUCCGAGCGUUAUCCGGAUUUAUUGGGUUUAAAGGGUGCGUAGGCGGUCUUUUAAGUACGCGGUGAAAGUCUGUGGCUCAACCAUAGAAUUGACGUUGAAACUGGGAGGCUUGAGUAUGUUUGAGGCAGGCGGAAUGCGUGGUGUAGCGGUGAAAUGCUUAGAUAUCACGCAGAACCCCGAUUGCGAAGGCAGCCUGCCAAGCCAUGACUGACGCUGAUGCACGAAAGCGUGGGGAUCAAACAGGAUUAGAUACCCCGGUAGUC